AUUGAACGCUGGCGGCAGGCCUAACACAUGCAAGUCGAGCGAGCGGCGGACGGGUGAGUAAUGUCUGGGAAACUGCCUGAUGGAGGGGGAUAACUACUGGAAACGGUAGCUAAUACCGCAUACCAUCAGAUGUGCCCAGAUGGGAUUAGCUUGUUGGUGGGGUAAUGGGUCACCCAGGCGACGAUCCCUAGCUGGUCUGAGAGGAUGACCAGCCACACGGGAACGGAGACACGGUCAAGACUCCUACGGGAGGCAGCAGUGGGAAAUAGUGCACAAUGGGCGCAAGCCUGAUGCAGCCAUGCCGCGUGUGUGAAGAAGGCCUUCGGGUUGUAAAGGACUUUCAGCGGGGAGGCGUUACCCGCAGAAGAAGCAACGGCUAACUCCGUGCCAGCAGCCGCGGUAAUAC
rnacentral:rRNA from 1 species